rnacentral:rRNA from 1 species
UACGUAGGCAGCAAGCGUUGUUCGGAGUUACUGGGCGUAAAGGGUGCGUAGGUGGCUCUAUAAGUAUGGUGUGAAAUCUCCCGGCUUAACUGGAAGGGUGCGCCGUAGACUGUGGGGCUAGAGUGUGGGAGAGGAAAGUGGAAUUCCUGGUGUAGCGGUGAAAUGCGUAGAUAUCAGGAGGAACACCGGUGGUGUAAACGGCUUUCUGGACCAUAACUGACACUGAGGCACGAAAGCGUGGGUAGCAAACAGG